AGCUGCUGUGCGUUAAGCUCGUAGUCGACUUCGGGUCCUGUCCGCCGGUCCGCCUUCUUGGUGUGUACUUGUUGGAUGGGACCUUACCUCCUGGUGAACAGCGAUGUCCUUUACUGGGUGUCGUUGCAAACCAGGACGUUUACUUUGAAAAAAUUAGAGUGUUCAAAGCAGGCCUUUGCCCGAAUACAUUAGCAUGGAAUAAUAGAAUAGGACGCGCGUUCCCAUUUUGUUGGUUUCUGAGAUCGCCGUAAUGAUUAAUAGGGAUAGUUGGGGGCAUUUGUAUUCCGUCGUCAGAGGUGAAAUUCUUGGAUUGCCGGAAGACAAACUACUGCGAAAGCAUUUGCCAAGGAUGUUUUCAUUGAUCAAGAACGAAGGAAGGGGGAUCAAAAACGAUUAGAUACCGUUGUAGUCUCUUCUGUAAACUAUGCCAAUUGGGGAUCGGCACAGGAUUUUUAAUGACUGUGUCGGCACCCGAAGAGAAAUCUUUAAAUGAGGUUCGGGGGGGAGUAUGGUCGCAAGGCUGAAACUUAAAGGAAUUGACGGAAGGGCACCACCAGGUGUGGAGCCUGCGGCUUAAUUUGACUCAACACGGGGAAACUCACCAGGUCCAGACACAAUAAGGAUUGACAGAUUGAUAGCUCUUUCUUGAUCUUGUGGUUGGUGGUGCAUGGCCGUUCUUAGUUGGUGGAGUGAUUUGUCUGGUUAAUUCCGAUAACGAACGAGACCUUAACCUGCUAAAUAGACCAGCCGACUUUGGUUAGCUGCUGUCUUCUUAGAGGGACUAUCAGCGUUUAGCUGAUGGAAGUUUGAGGCAAUAACAGGUCUGUGAUGCCCUUAGAUGUUCUGGGCCGCACGCGCGCUACACUGACAGAGCCAGCGAGUCUACCACCUUUGCCGGAAGGCAUGGGUAAUCUUGUGAAACUCUGUCGUGAUGGGGAUAGAACAUUGCAAUUAUUGUUCUUCAACGAGGAAUACCUAGUAAGCGUGAUUCAUCAGAUCGCGUUGAUUACGUCCCUGCCCUUUGUACACACCGCCCGUCGCUACUACCGAUUGAAUGGCUUAGUGAGGCCUCCGGGAUUGGCUAUUGGGGAGCU
rnacentral:rRNA from 1 species